GACAGAGGGGGCAAGCGUUGCUCGGAAUCACUGGGCGUAAAGGGCGCGUAGGCGGGAUGGCAAGUCAGUCGUGAAAUCUCUCGGCUCAACCGAGAAACGUCGGCUGAUACUGCCGUUCUUGAGGGAUGCAGAGGAGACUGGAAUUCCCGGUGUAGCGGUGAAAUGUGUAGAGAUCGGGAGGAACACCGGUGGCGAAGGCGGGUCUCUGGGCAUCUCCUGACGCUGAGGCGCGAAAGCGUGGGGAUCAAACAGG
rnacentral:rRNA from 1 species